AGGACGAACGCUGGCGGCGUGCUUAACACAUGCAAGUCGAGCGGUAAGGCCCUUUCGGGGGUACACGAGCGGCGAACGGGUGAGUAACACGUGAGCAAUCUGCCCUUCACUUCGGGAUAAGCCUCGGAAACGGGGUCUAAUACCGGAUAUGACUGCGCCAUGCAUGUGGUGUGGUGGAAAGUUCUGGCGGUGAGGGAUGAGCUCGCGGCCUAUCAGCUUGUUGGUGGGUAAUGGCCUACCAAGGCUUCGACGGGUAGCCGGCCUGAGAGGGUGACCGGCCACACUGGGACUGGAGACGACCGGCCAGACCUCCGACGGGAGCAGCAGGUGGGAAUAGUGGACAAGUCGGGA
rnacentral:rRNA from 1 species